rnacentral:rRNA from 1 species
UACGAAGGGGGCUAGCGUUGUUCGGAAUUACUGGGCGUAAAGCGCACGUAGGCGGCUUUGUAAGUCAGAGGUGAAAGCCUGGAGCUCAACUCCAGAACUGCCUUUGAGACUGCAUCGCUUGAAUCCAGGAGAGGUGAGUGGAAUUCCGAGUGUAGAGGUGAAAUUCGUAGAUAUUCGGAAGAACACCAGUGGCGAAGGCGGCUCACUGGACUGGUAUUGACGCUGAGGUGCGAAAGCGUGGGGAGCAAACAGG